rnacentral:rRNA from 1 species
CAAAUUGAGAGUUUGAUCCUGGCUCAGGAUGAACGCUGGCGGCGUGCCUAAUACAUGCAAGUCGAACGCUUUGUGGUUCAACUGAUUUGAAGAGCUUGCUCAGAUAUGACGAUGGACAUUGCAAAGAGUGGCGAACGGGUGAGUAACACGUGGGAAACCUACCUCUUAGCAGGGGAUAACAUUUGGAAACAGAUGCUAAUACCGUAUAACAAUGACAACCGCAUGGUUGUUAUUUAAAAGAUGGUUCUGCUAUCACUAAGAGAUGGUCCCGCGGUGCAUUAGCUAGUUGGUAAGGUAAUGGCUUACCAAGGCGAUGAUGCAUAGCCGAGUUGAGAGACUGAUCGGCCACAAUGGGACUGAGACACGGCCCAUACUCCUACGGGAGGCAGCAGUAGGGAAUCUUCCACAAUGGGCGAAAGCCUGAUGGAGCAACGCCGCGUGUGUGAUGAAGGGUUUCGGCUCGUAAAACACUGUUGUAAGAGAAGAAUGACAUUGAGAGUAACUGUUCAAUGUGUGACGGUAUCUUACCAGAAAGGAACGGCUAAAUACGUGCCAGCAGCCGCGGUAAUACGUAUGUUCCAAGCGUUAUCCGGAUUUAUUGGGCGUAAAGCGAGCGCAGACGGUUAUUUAAGUCUGAAGUGAAAGCCCUCAGCUCAACUGAGGAAUUGCUUUGGAAACUGGAUGACUUGAGUGCAGUAGAGGAAAGUGGAACUCCAUGUGUAGCGGUGAAAUGCGUAGAUAUAUGGAAGAACACCAGUGGCGAAGGCGGCUUUCUGGACUGUAACUGACGUUGAGGCUCGAAAGUGUGGGUAGCAAACAGGAUUAGAUACCCUGGUAGUCCACACCGUAAACGAUGAGUGCUAGGUGUUUGAGGGUUUCCGCCCUUAAGUGCCGCAGCUAACGCAUUAAGCACUCCGCCUGGGGAGUACGACCGCAAGGUUGAAACUCAAAGGAAUUGACGGGGACCCGCACAAGCGGUGGAGCAUGUGGUUUAAUUCGAAGCAACGCGAAGAACCUUACCAGGUCUUGACAUCCCUUGACAACUCCAGAGAUGGAGCGUUCCCUUCGGGGACAAGGUGACAGGUGGUGCAUGGUUGUCGUCAGCUCGUGUCGUGAGAUGUUGGGUUAAGUCCCGCAACGAGCGCAACCCUUAUUACUAGUUGCCAGCAUUCAGUUGGGCACUCUAGUGAGACUGCCGGUGACAAACCGGAGGAAGGUGGGGAUGACGUCAAAUCAUCAUGCCCCUUAUGACCUGGGCUACACACGUGCUACAAUGGCGUAUACAACGAGUUGCCAACCCGCGAGGGUGAGCUAAUCUCUUAAAGUACGUCUCAGUUCGGAUUGUAGGCUGCAACUCGCCUACAUGAAGUCGGAAUCGCUAGUAAUCGCGGAUCAGCACGCCGCGGUGAAUACGUUCCCGGGUCUUGUACACACCGCCCGUCACACCAUGAGAGUUUGUAACACCCAAAGCCGGUGGGGUAACCUUCGGGAGCCAGCCUUCUAAGGUGGGACAGAUGAUUAGGGUGAAGUCGUAACAAGGUAGCCGUAGGAGAACCUGCGGCUGGAUCACCUCCUUU